ensembl:lncRNA
AUGGAGCGAUUCCAGAUUCCCCCACCACCCAAGUUUGACUUCACAAAGCCAGAAGAGUGGCCCAAGUGGAUUCAAAGGUUUGAGAGAUUCCGGAUUGCAUCGGGUCUAGAGCUACAGCCGGAUGAAAACCAGGUGAACACUUUAAUCUAUACUAUGGGGGACGAGGCGGAAGAUAUCGUGACUUCACUUCGUAUGACGGAGGAGGAGGCAAGCGUGUACAACACUGUCAAAGAGAAGCUAGAGGGACAUUUCGUGGUGAGGAGAAAUGUUAUUUUUGAGCGAGCCAAAUUCAACCAGAGACAGCAGGAACAAGGAGAGACUGUGGACAGUUUUAUCACCGCACUCCACUGCUUGUCAGAGCACUGCGGCUAUGGACAGCUGCACGACGAAAUGGUCCGUGACAGACUUGUUGUAGGCUUGCGCGAUAAAAAGCUGUCGGAGCAACUGCAGCUGGACUCGGAGCUAACGCUGGAGAGAGCGGUGAUGCGCGCGCGUCAGAGCAUUCAAACAAAACACAAAUUCGACAAAGGCAAAGGAAGACAGCAGAAAAUGCAGGCUGGAACAAAUGAUAAAAGCAGUUAUCAGACACAGCCAGGUAACCAGACACGAUGCAUGUGGUGUGGUAGAACGCCAGCACACAGCAAAAAUCAGUGCCCAGCUAGAGAAGUAGCAUGUAACCGGUGUCAGAAAAAGGGUCACUACGCAAAAGUGUGGAGGUCAGGGGCUCUCAAUGAAGUUAACACAGCAGAGUCAGAUGAGGAGGAAAUAGCUUCCCUAGGCACAGUCAGUUCAGAUGAUGAACCAUGGCUAAUCAACCUUAAAGUGAAUGAGUACACAGCUGUAUUCAAAAUAGAUACAGGGGCAGACGUAACAGUGCUAUCUGAAGAUGUAUUUCAGAAAGGGCAGUUUCCGGAGCUAGAGAGAGCAAAGAAAGUGCUGCAGGGUCCAGGUCUGACACCCAUCACGGUGAAGGGGAAGUUCCAAGCCACUAUAGGAACAGACAGUAAAAGCACCACACAGGAAGUGUACGUAGUCCCGGGUCUGAAGUUUAGCCUACUGGGACGUCCAGCUAUCCAGGCAUUAGGGCUAGUGGCUAGAGUAGACACAGUGGCACUGGAUUCAGUCGAGAGAGUCAAGGAGCAGUUCCCCACAAUGUUCAAAGGGCUAGGCAAGAUGGAGGGUGAAUACAAGAUAGAGCUUAAAGCAGACGCCAAACCAUUCUCCAUAUCAACCCCACGACGAAUCCCGCUGCCUCUCAUGUCUAAAGUAAAAAAAAAGAACUCACGCGCAUGGAAGAGAUGGGGGUGA